AGAUAAUGAACUUGAAUAAGUAUAUGUUUUGAAAACAUAAUAUAGAAAUAAAUAUUCUAUUAUCUU
rnacentral:tRNA from 1 species